CACUUUUUAUCAUUCUUUUCACCCUUUCGUUUAAAGGCCUUCCCUCCACCUUCCCUGGCACACUGAGUCACCUUAUUCCCCGUGACUGCCACAAUCAUCCCUUCUUCCUUCCCGUUUGUUCAGUGGCACAGUGACGGCCCUCCUCCAGUGUUCCGGCACCUCACCCUGCUCACAAGCUUGGCUAUGUGAGGCGUUUGGUGUAAAAGUUGUGACCAAACCAAUCAAAGCGGCAGUACUGUUUUUGGCGGCAUCUGGCACCUGAACUCUUGCUGCAUUGUGCGGUGAAGCAAGUUUCAGAAAAAGCAGCCUUAAACCAGGUGAUUCAUAGGCCUACAGUUGUGUGACUUCUCCGCUGAAGUCCCCAAUUUAUCUCGACUUCUUUCUGAAAGCUUUUUGUUCUCUAAACAGUUUGUUGAUGUCACUCUACCAAAAUAUUCAUAUACUCUGUCUACUUUCCCUACUGUUCCUUAACUGUCUAUUUUGUAUCGUCUGUCCAGCAUGCAUUCCCUCCCUUCCUCUUCCACACACCUUGUGUCCCACUACGUCCCAGGCUGCCCUUGACACUGAACUCUUCUCAACCCGUCUGCUGUAAUUGCCUUCACUGUUAUCCUGGUAACAUACAGUACCAGGUCUUUCUCUGCCUCUGUGGUGGAUAGUGGAGUGUUUCCCAUGUGGUAUUGGUGUACUGGAUAUCCCUUCACUGUUAUCCUGGUAACAUACAGUACCAGGUCUUUCUCUGCCUCUGUGGUGGAUAGUGGAGUGUUUCCCAUGUGGUAUUGGUGUGCUGGAUAUCCCUUCACUGUUAUCCUGGUAACAUACAGUCCCAGGUCUUUCUCUGCCUCUGUGGUGGAUAGUGGAGUGUUUCCCAUGUGGUAUUGGUGUGCUGGAUAUCCCUUCACUGUUAUCCUGGUAACAUACAGUCCCAGGUCUUUCUCUGCCUCUGUGGUGGAUAGUGGAGCAUUUCCCAUGUGGUAUUGGUGUACUGGAUAUCCCUUCACUGUUAUCCUGGUAACAUACAGUCCCAGGUCUUUCUCUGCCUCUGUGGUGGAUAGUGGAGCAUUUCCCAUGUGGUAUUGGUGUACUGGAUAUCCCUUCACUGUUAUCCUGGUAACAUACAGUCCCAGGUCUUUCUCUGCCUCUGUGGUGGAUAGUGGAGUGUUUCCCAUGUGGUAUUGGUGUGCUGGAUAUCCCUUCACUGUUAUCCUGGUAACAUACAGUCCCAGGUCUUUCUCUGCCUCUGUGGUGGAUAGUGGAGCAUUUCCCAUGUGGUAUUGGUGUACUGGAUAUCCCUUCACUGUUAUCCUGGUAACAUACAGUCCCAGGUCUUUCUCUGCCUCUGUGGUGGAUAGUGGAGCAUUUCCCAUGUGGUAUUGGUGUACUGGAUAUCCCUUCACUGUUAUCCUGGUAACAUACAGUCCCAGGUCUUUCUCUGCCUCUGUGGUGGAUAGUGGAGCAUUUCCCAUGUGGUAUUGGUGUACUGGAUAUCCCUUCACUG